GACGAACGCUGGCGGCGUGCUUAACACAUGCAAGUCGAACGAAGUGGCGAACGGGUGAGUAAUACGUGGGUAACCUGCCCUCCUUUUUGGGAUAAGCCUUGGAAACGGGGUCUAAUACCGAAUAAAGGGGGAUGGGCUCGGGGCCUAUCAGCUUGUUGGUGGGGUGAUGGCCUACCAAGGCGGUGACGGGUAGCCGGCCUGGGAGGGUGACCGGCCACAUGGGGACUGAGGGACGGCCCAGACUCCUACGGGAGGCAGCGGUGGGGGAUAUUGCACAAUGGGCGAGAGCCUGAUGCAGCAACGCCGCGUGCGUGAUGACGGCCUGUGGGUUGGAAACAGCGUUCAGCCAGGACGCGGUAGUGGCAGAAGAAGCACCGGCUAACUACGUGCCAGCAGCCGCGGUAAUUC
rnacentral:rRNA from 1 species